rnacentral:lncRNA from 1 species
CAGAGAACAGAGAUUAAGAAUACAUUGCUUCCCUAGUUAUUUAGAAGUAUACACAUUAUUGAUGUCUUUCAGUAGAAAAGACAAAGUUAAAUCUGAUGAUGGAUGAUGUCAGUGGGAUUUGAUUUGGAUAAUAGAAGGGCAGACUCGAAUGCAAGAGGUUUGGUGGCAGGUAGGGGAGACAGAGGUUCAGAGCCUGUGGAAACAUCACAU